AGAGUUUGAUCCUGGCUCAGAACGAACGCUGGCGGCGCGUCUUAAGCAUGCAAGUCGGGCGGGAUCUAUGCGCUUGCGCAUGGUGAGAGCGGCGGACUGGCGAGUAACACGUGGGCGACGCGCCCUCCGGACGGGGAUAGCCUGUAGAAAUACAGGGUAAUGCCGGAUGCGAACGCGCGCGCUGGAGGCGCGCGUGGAAAGCCCCACGGGGGCGCCGGAGGAGCGGCCCGCGGCCCAUCAGCUUGUAGGCGGUGCAAGGGACCACCUAGGCUACGACGGGUACCCGGCCUCAGAGGGCGGACGGGCGCAUUGGGACUGAGAUACGGCCCAGACUCCUACGGGAGGCAGCAGCUAAGAAUAUUCCGCAAUGGGGGGAACCCUGACGGAGCGACGCCGCGUGGGCGAGGAAGGCCGGAAGGUUGUAAAGCCCUUUUGCGCGCGAGGAAUAAGGGGAGGAGGGAAUGCCUUCCCGGUGACUGUAGCGCGCGAAUAAGCGCCGGCUAAUUACGUGCCAGCAGCCGCGGUAACACGUAAGGCGCGAGCGUUGUUCGGAAUCAUUGGGCGUAAAGGGCGUGUAGGCGGCCCUGCAAGCCUGGCGUGAAAUCCCGGGGCUCAACCCCGGAACCGCGCUGGGAACUGCUGGGCUGGAGCCGCUGUGGCGCAGCCGGAAUUCCAGGUGUAGGGGUGAAAUCUGUAGAUAUCUGGAAGAACACCGAUGGCGAAGGCAGGCUGCGAGCGGACGGCUGACGCUGAGGCGCGAAGGCGCGGGGAGCGAACAGGAUUAGAUACCCUGGUAGUCCGCGCAGUAAACGAUGCACACUGGGUGUCCGGGCAUGAGCCCGGGUGCCGAAGCGAACGCGUUAAGUGUGCCGCCUGGGGAGUAUGCCCGCAAGGGUGAAACUCAAAGGAAUUGACGGGGGCCCGCACAAGCGGUGGAGCAUGUGGUUUAAUUCGACGCAACGCGAAGAACCUUACCAGGACUUGACAUCCAACUAACGAGGCAGAGAUGCGUUAGGUGCCCUUCGGGGAAAGUUGAGACAGGUGGUGCAUGGUUGUCGUCAGCUCGUGUCGUGAGAUGUUGGGUUAAGUCCCGCAACGAGCGCAACCCCUAUUGUUAGUUGCUACGAAAGAGCACUCUAGCGAGACUGCCGUUGACAAUACGGAGGAAGGCGGGGACGACGUCAAAUCAUCAUGCCCCUUAUGUCCUGGGCUACACACGUAAUACAAUGGUGGCGAACAGAGGGAAGCAAAGGAGCGAUCUGGAGCAAAACCCUAAAAGCCAUCUCAGUUCGGAUUGCAGGCUGCAACUCGCCUGCAUGAAGCUGGAAUUGCUAGUAAUCGCGGAUCAGAAAGCCGCGGUGAAUACGUUCCCGGGCCUUGCACACACCGCCCGUCA
rnacentral:rRNA from 1 species